AGAGAAGACAAAGCCUAAGGCCUACCAAAGGUGAUAAAUCCAAAGGAUAUUCCUGCAUAAGGUGGUGGUUAUAUUUAAAAGAAAAAGAAAUGCAAGAUAACUGUUUCAAUGCUAUCCAGUUGAAGAAAAGACUAUGUCAAGCAUUUGAAAAGAAGAGAAUGUUACCCUCAGGCCCCAAACAACUGAAUCUAGGAAGUGGAAGAAAUUUGAAUACAUCAGUUAGAAAACAAAAAACUAUAAUAAACUCAAAAUCAUUUCAAA